GGUCCUCUGGCACGCUCUGACUGCAGGCUGUGCCCCCUCUCCCCCGGGCAGGUGGGCCUCUGGCACGCUCUGACUGUAGGCUGUGGCCCCUCUCCCCCGGGCAGGUGGGUCUCUGGCACGCUCUGACUGUAGGCUGUGGCCCCUCUCCCCCGGGCAGGUGGGUCUCUGGCACGCUCUGACUGCAGGCUGUGCCCCCACCCCCACCCAGGCUGGUGGGUCUCUGGCACGCUCCGACUGUAGGCUGUGGCCCCUCUCCCCCAGGCAGGUGGGCCUCUGGCACGCUCUGACUGUAGGCUGUGCCCCCUCUCCCCCAGGCUGGUGGGUCUCUGGCACACUCUGACUGUAGGCUGUGGCCCCUCUGCUGGUGGGUCUCUGGCACACUCUGACUGCAGGCUGUGCUCUUCGUUUGUUGCA